UACAGGGGGGGCAAGCGUUGUUCGGAAUUACUGGGCGUAAAGGGCUCGUAGGCGGCCAACUAAGUCCGACGUGAAAUCCCAAAGCUUAACUUUGGAACUGCGUCGGAUACUGGAUGGCUUGAAUUCGGGAGAGGGAUGCAGAAUUCCAGGUGUAGCGGUGAAAUGCGUAGAUAUCUGGAGGAACACCAAUUGCGAAGGCAGCUCGCUGGGACGUUACUGACGCUGAGACGCGAAAGCGUGGGGAGCAAACAGG
rnacentral:rRNA from 1 species